CCCCAGCCAACAGGUGACCUUGAAGAGUACCACUGCCAAAAGAAAAUGAAGCCAUGGCUUUCUUAGACUUUUUACUUUCUUUAACAUAAACCACCUGAAGAGGCAUCAUGACCCAUGGCAGAAACUGCUUUAAACAAACACAGAAUUUCACUCCAGUCUGAAUGGGAGUCUUGGGAUCAACAAAUGCCCAAGUUAAUCCAAAAUGCCUCCAAGUUUGAAGAGCUAACUUUCCCUUUUCA
rnacentral:misc_RNA from 1 species